UACAGAGGUCUCAAGCGUUGUUCGGAUUCAUUGGGCGUAAAGGGUGCGUAGGCGGCUCAGUAAGUCCGCUCUGAAAGCUUGGGGCUUAACCCCAAGAGGCGGGCGGAUACUGCUGGGCUCGAGUCCGGAAGAGGCGAGUGGAAUUCCUGGUGUAGCGGUGAAAUGCGCAGAUAUCAGGAGGAACACCGAUGGCGAAGGCAGCUCGCUGGGACGGUACUGACGCUGAGGCGCGAAAGCGUGGGGAGCAAACAGG
rnacentral:rRNA from 1 species